GGGUUGUGAGGUUAAGCGACUAAGCGUACACGGUGGAUGCCCUGGCAGUCAGAGGCGAUGAAGGGCGUGCUAAUCUGCGAUAAGCGCCGGUAAGGUGAUAUGAACCGCUACAACCGGCGAUACCCGAAUGGGGAAACCCAGUGUGAUUCGUCACACUAUCAUGCAGUGAAUACAUAGCUGUAUGAGGCGAACCGGGGGAACUGAAACAUCUAAGUACCCCGAGGAAAAGAAAUCAACCGAGAUUCCCCCAGUAGCGGCGAGCGAACGGGGAGGAGCCCAGAACCAUCAUCAGCUUGUGCAUCAGUGGAAGCGUCUGGAAAGUCGCAGGGUACAGGGUGAUACUCCCGUACACAAAGGUGCACAGGCUGUGAGUUCGAUGAGUAAGGCGGGACACGUGGUAUCCUGUCUGAAUAUGGGGGGACCAUCCUCCAAGGCUAAAUACUCCUGACUGACCGAUAGUGAACCAGUACCGUGAGGGAAAGGCGAAAAGAACCCCGGCGAGGGGAGUGAAACAGAACCUGAAACCGUGUACGUACAAGCAGUGGGAGCACCUUCGUGGUGUGACUGCGUACCUUUUGUAUAAUGGGUCAGCGACUUAUAUUCUGUAGCAAGGUUAACCG
rnacentral:rRNA from 1 species